rnacentral:lncRNA from 1 species
GAGAGAGAGAGAGAGUGUAGAAACAUUGUGUGGUGGUGGUAGCUAGAGGCAGAUGUCGAUGCAGGGGGUAAGUAAUCCCUUGAUAUAAACUGAGCUGGCCUCACAGGAAGGCAGCUUUCACCAGACAUUGGUGCCAGGAAAAGGCUUACAUGUGGGUGAAAAGUGAGUAGUAUACUGUUGAAAUUUUUUCUUCUCCAAACUCUGACAAGCUCAGGGAUCUACUGCCAUGAAUGGUUAAAGGUAUUAACCCUUGGAAUUCAUCCAAAGCCUAAAACCUGAAGAAACUGGCAGAGCUGAGGGCUCAGAGAUGUGGUAUGGAUUUCUUUUUGUAACCGACUUUUGUUAAAGUUUGUCAUUUUUUCAGAAGUGGAUUACAGAUACAGUUUUCAGGCUACCCAAGAGGAAACGCCGGAGAGGGGGAGUCCUGGUGAGAUUCAGGCAAAUGGAAAACCAGCCACCUCUUCCCUCCAUUCUAUUGGCCAGUCACGUGAAAAUAAGAUGGAUGACCUCAGAUCUCGGAUUUGCUACUAACGGGUCUUUGGUAACUGCAAUAUUCUCUGCUUUUCUGAAACAUGGCUUUCGGACAUGAUACCCCCCAUGGUUAUCCAACUCGAUGGAAUCUCUAUUCACUGAACAGACAGGACAUUGAAUUGAGGGAAAUCGAGAGGGGGAGGUGUAUUGCCUCUUCAUCAACAGCAAAUGGUGUGCUGACUGUACCGUGGGGGCGGGGGGAUAAAGUCCUAGACCACUGUUACUCUACCCACAAGCAAACAUACAAGGCCCUCCCUUGUCUCCCCGUCGGGAAAUCAGAUCAUGUCUCUGUGACGAUGCCACAAGUGUGAGGUGAUAGGCAUAUAGACAUAUAAUUGUCUGGUUUAAAGUUUUUUUUUAAACUUGCAAGGUUAUACCUUUAUGUGUAUUUUCAUUUUCAUGCUGUUAUAUUAUGUAUCUGCCAGUUUUGACUGUGUUAUUUUCACCGUCAAAUCUAAGAUGGCUGCCAUUAGCAUUUUGGUGAGCUAUCCCUUUAAGAGGGCAUGUCUCUUGAAGAAAUGGAG